ACGAGUUUGAACAUGGGCUUUUGAUGCUGGCCUUCCGAGGCAUGUGCUCGGCCCUGCUCAUCCAUCUUACCCCUGUGCACCUAUUGUGGCAGGUGAAGCCUGAAAGGGUGAAGCCAGCUACGUUUUUUAUACACACACUUUGGUUUAGAAUGUAACUUUUGCGAUAAUUAACGCAUUUAAAUA
rnacentral:misc_RNA from 1 species